ACACCCGACGUUGACACAACGUUGGAUCAACGUUGAAACAUGGUCACGACGUCGGCGACCUUCACACAACGUUUAACCGACGUUGAAUCCCCGACGUCUAACAGACGUUUCAUUUUGACGUCGAUUCGACGUCGGGUUUUGGUCGGUAAUCUGACAAUAGUCUAUUAUAGGUGAUUUAAUUUAUAAAACCAAUAUAUAUUUAAAUAAAAGCAUAAACAGCGACCAUUUUAAGUUUGUUUUGAAAGGGAAAAUUAUAUAUAUUUUAUCUCCAUCAAAACAACAACAGUGUCAUGUGGGUGGCUAACGUACGAUAUUCGAUAGGUGGCGCUCGGUAAACGGAAAGUCGCAGAUCAGUAUAAACUAUAUAUAUUUGCUCUAUUUUCGUUUUAAUAAUAUCUUAUCUCCACGAAUUAGUCUCAGAAGUGUUUAUAUAAUUAACAAUGAAGUUGUUAUCAUUUUGUGGGCUUCAUUUUAUAGUGGUUAAUAAUUCAGUAAAUUCAAAUUGGCGAAUUAUCGGAUUUGAAAUUCAACUGUAUUGGCGGACAAAAACGACGGGUUGACAGACAAAGUUGUAUAUUCCAAACAAAAGGAAAAAGUAAAUAUCAGAGAUUGUGAAAAUUAUGAUAAUUCAACAUCUGUCAAAAGUUCAGAGGAGGAAGAUGAAAAUAUUAAGAGGAAAAGAAAAAUGGAAACCUACCAAGAUUUUGCGACAGAUAGUUUGAUGAGAUGUCUAUAUAAAUAUUCAGAUUAUGAUAUGCUUAAAGUAUGCUCCAGAUCGCCAUAGUGGAGGAGGACUUAAGAAGAAUGCUAAUAAAGAUAAAUGAAUUUUGCUAUUUAUAGUAAUAUCAAAAUAUUCGGAAUGUUGUUUCAUUUAAUAUUCAGUUCUAGAUAGAUUCAGUUAUAAAAUACAAAGACAAAUAUACAAUCAGUGAGAUGGAUCGGGAAUAAGCCUUGGUGAUAUAAGAAAAAACACAUGCAUGGAUGUUUACCUAUAUAAAAUGUUAGUGUUAAUUUUAAUGAAGGAUUUUGUUUAUCUAAAACAUGCUUAAUUAAUACAUGAAGUGUUAUUAUAAUUAUAUUAUACAUACUGUCAAGUUUAAUAGUUUCAAAAAAUGUUAUGUAAAUUUUGCAUUUGUUAUACAUGUAGUACCACGUUUAUUGUUUUGUACAUGUGAUUCUGUGUUGAAAAUAAAUUGAUGAAAUUAUAAGAAUACUUAUUUGUUUACCCUAUUAAAGAGCCUUAAAUUGAAAAAAUCAUAUUCCAAAAAAGUUUUGAAUGAGGUUAAAUCAUGGUCAGAAAAUUUGGUCAGAAAAGGUUGGAUUAUGGUCAAAUAAUGGUCAGAAAAGGUUGGAUUAUGGUCAGAAAAGGUUGGAUUAUGACCAAAAAAUGGUCAGAAAAGGUUGGAUUAUGGUCAGAUAAUGGUCAGAAAAGGUUGGAUUAUGGUCAAAUAAUGGUCAGAAAAGGUUGGAUAAAGGUCAUUUUAUGACGUUGUAUAGAUGUUGGUUUCCGACGUCUAAAAAACUUUAAAAUGCAACCUUCUGCCAACGUUUACCCAACGUCAGGGUCUAACGUCAGUACAACGUUGGUACAACGUCUUUUGUUUGCUGGGUUUUACGUGCCCCAGCUGAUCUGUGUAAAAAAAUAAAUUUUAUGAUUUUAGGCUUUUGAACCUCAGUGGAGUUCCUUCAACAAUUAAUAUAAAAAAGGCAAAGCCUCAAAAUGAGCUCGAUUUUCUUUUACCAUAAAAUAGUAUAAAAUAAUCGUUCAUUUUUAUUUUACAUUUUCUGUUUUAAAAUUGUCAUUCAGUAUUUUAUACAUUGCUUCCGUUUAUUCUGGUUCCCUGUCCUAUUAUGAAUCCCAUAUAAGUGCUCAGGACACCAGUCUAUUCUUCCAUUUUCAAUCAGAAUUCCUCGGCUUUUAUUGUUAUCUUGUAAUUCGAAACGUUGUGAUGUGUCAAUUUGGUACUUCAACCAUCACUAUCUAGCAGGUACUCGCGUUACCGUAAAGCCCACUUUGCGAGCAGGCCCUUUGGGCCAGCUCUACGUGCUCGCUAUUAUUAUGCUGUUAAGUUGCAAUUGUUCCCAAAGUCCCA